UUUACAGAUUUGCCCCAAGGACAACUGCCUAUACUGGAAGUUGACGGGCAUACCCUUUGCCAAAGUAUGACGAUUGUACGCUAUUUGGCCCGGGAGCACGGUUUAUAUGGCGAUAACAAUCUGGAGUCAGCUAAAGUGGAUACAGUCCUUGAUACCUAUAUCGAUGUUCAUGUCGCUAUGGGUAAAGUGUUUUACGAAAAAAAAACAAGAAAAGUAUACACCAUUUGUAAAUCGCAUGUAAUAACUGUUUAUGUCAACAUAACGCUCCUAUACAAUAUACCACUUUAUAUCAAUACCAACUUGGAUCUAAAUCAUAUUUCUAUCCAUGGAAAUGUCUUCCAACUACUGAAUCUGUAAUGUCUUGAGUACACCUAGCAUUGCUUCCAGAGUUUUUUGUUUUAGAUUAAAACAAUUGUCCUGAAUAUGACUUACAUAAUAUACUUUCUUGCACUGGUUUAGCAGGGUGAUUUAUCUCCCGUGUGAUGAUAUUUGUUAAUGACACAAUGUAUUGUCGGUAAUAUUAAGUAUCCCGGGAAUAAAGAGAAUGCUGUUGAAAUGUCAAAUCGGUAGUGAAAUAUGUGUAUCCAAAUCUUCUAGAAAAAACCCAGGUCGGUCAGUGUAGCGUUUUUUAUUCGAUCUGAUUGUAAUUAGAAUAAAUCCACUCAUACAAAAUUACUUGAAUUUCCUCUAAAAAUGUCCAAGUUUUAAUUUCUGAAAUGUUGACAAAAGCUUAACAUGUUUUUGUGCAUUGGAAUGUUUUCAUGAAAUUGAAUAUAUGCUUUUCUUUCCAAAAAGAACUAGCUAAAGAAUUAAAUGAUAUCGGUAGGCCACGAUUCAUCUCUCUUUUUGGGAGAAUUCUGCGUGAAAAUAAUGAUGGGAACGGCUGGAUAGUGGGAUCUAAGACAACAGUGGCAGACCUUGCUCUGUGUACACUGUUUGGCGAGUUGGUAUGUGGUAUGUAUGGUGCAGGUAUUGCCGACAGUUUCCAUGCGGACGAUAAAUUAAAAUCUCAUUUCGAAAGAGUUAAUUCACAGAAGCAAAUAUCUGACUGGAUUGAAAAACGUCCAAAAACGGAUAGGUAAUCACAUUUUAGCUGCACGUGGAGUCAGCCAGGGGUUGACAGAUGUACACCUACACAGGGACAUUAUACAAUGUAAGUCCCUGGCCAACAUGAAUAUCAAUUAUAAGCGGAUUAUAAACAAUGUACUUUGACUGACGAUUCAAGUUUUAGGAUAACAUUUAAGUUAAGUGUAUAUAUUGUGUAAUAUUUGGUA